GCCUCCUUUGCUGGGUCUUCAGCUAAGCUGCACAGUUUUCAAUGAUCCUAAUCUGCUGAUUGCCUCAAAACACCACCAUUAAUAUAAAUUUUUUCUUGGAGAUGCUAUACAGAAGAUGGGCAGGAACCAUGCUGGCAUAAAGUCUGUCCUCCUGUCUCUGGCCAUCAUACCCCUGCUGAUGGAUAUGUUUCUCCCAAGAAGAUGAAUACCCCUGUACAACCACAGGUUCUUCGGAGAAAGAAUGUCAAUACAUAAGAAUAAGAAAUGGUUUCACUUCUAGGGAACUGCCCUGUGUGUUUUAAGACUAGCUUUGGGCAAUCUGGAGGAUUUUACUGCUCUGGAAAAAUUGAAGCUUUGCCUCCACCCUUACCCCUCCAACACAUCUGUCUGCAGCAGUAACUUAUGGGGUGGA